GAAGGCCAGGCCAGGCUGCGUGGGGCCGAGACCCCUCCUCUGGCGGAGGUGGCAGGAGAGAUCCCAAGGUGAGGCAUGGCCUCGGGCUGUCUUGGUUUGGGUCAUCGGGGCCAGUUGUUUUCCAUGUCUUUAAAAUGUCCUAUGUAGAAUCCCCAGGUGACUAAUCGUCCCUUGAGAACUAAGGCAUGAACCUUUAUGCUGGUUAAUUGACAAUAGGGAUUUCACCAAAGGAAGAUACAAUCUCUUUUGGUACUACUUAGAUCAUCAGGGAUAUUCAAGUGUCUUGUACUCUGAUUUUCGUUAAUCAAGUACUUCUUGUUAUGAAGGAAACAUUAAAUUGAUCCCAAAACAUGAACAUGGGAAGUGACAUUGGCCUAAUGUACCCGUGAUGAUUAGAACAUGGGUCAGGUCCCAGUGGUGAGUCAUGAAUGACGCAUGAUAAGGGUCUGAAGCCCUGUGGCCCCACACAGUCCAUCCUCUUUGGCUCUGUUUAGGCCAUCCUGUGGACAGGUGUUAGGAACACAGAAAGUUCGGGUUCUUACAGCGUAUACGUUUUCAAAGUAUUCAUACAGCAAGGAGAACACCAUGAAAGUUAUAGGUAAUAGUUGAAGAGCAUAUGUUGUUGUCUAAUUAUGAGCAAAUAUGUUGAAGAAAGAAAUAUUAAUCAAAAUUGCCAACAGCAGCGCUCCUUAUGAGAUAAGUCAGUCAAACGGUCACCUUUGUGGCCAAUUAUCAGAGAGACUUGAAGAGUUGUAAGUGUUAGAAAUUUCCUGUAUUGUUGUGAGUCAGUUUCAAGUUUGAGGUAGUUCUUUCAGUCAAGAGACAAAACAGUCUCUAAAGCAUGGCUAUGCUUUACAUUGUUAAGUAACAGGGCAGAUGAAAUGUAGAGGCAAGACGCGACGGUGAUCCCUUUUCUUUUCUUUCUCUUUUUCAUCAUUGGCUGUGCUUUGUGCUGUCAAACGUGCUCACGCUGGAGCGGAUUGAGCGUGAUCCCACGGUGACGUCCAGGUCUUCUUGGGUGUUGUGAAUGAUUGAGUGUCUGAAUGACUGUGUGGGAAUUGCUGAAUCCGUCAAUGAAGUAAUACACGUGAAGGAGGCACAGAGACCCCGUCACGGACCAGUGAUGAGGCGCGUGACGGGAAGAGUCCUGAAGGAAGAAAGCAUCUCUGAAACUCUGAGGUCUGUCCCAGCACCUAAGGAGUCUCCUCUCUUGGGGGAAAUUGUGUCUGUAGAGAGAUGCCAGGGUAUACAAAGGUCAUGUGUUCUCGUAUUUAUUUCUUUGUCGUGGGUUUGUUAGGAAUGGCUGCGUGCCAGAAUCAUUAAGCAAAUGUAAGUGAAGAAAUAAGGAAAAAUAGGGUGAAUCAUUGUCCACAUAUGAAGAGGCUUAGGAAAUGAGGCUGUUCAUGAACCUUGAAAACAGUGAGGCCCAUCAAAUACCUGGCAAGGGUCGGAUAUCGACCAAAGUUAGAUAGCAAUGCGUUCAUAAAAGUCCGUUUAAGUUCUGCCACGGAGUAAAGAUUGAGGUUGGUUUGUUUUUGUUUUUUCUUUCACUAGAAUGAAAGUAUAUAGGAAGUGAUAAAUGCAUAAAUAUUGUGUAAGGGGAAGUCGGGCAACGAUGAUCAGUGGCAAUUAGAUCCUAACGCCUUUGUCACCCUCUGUGUUCUGUACCGCCCAGGAUGAAGGCGUUAGAGAUGGUUGAACAUCUGCCACGGGCACGGGCUCGGUGGUUGCCUCUAUAUAGUAGAAUGGAGAUUAAUGUGAGUAACGGCUGAGUUUCUUUGCUUGGACUUUUUCGAUUCGAGUGAUUACUGUACUAUUAAGAAAUGUGGGGGAGUUUCCUGACAGCGGUGGGUUAAGGAUCCGGCUUUCCCUGGGUCGGUGCUGUGGUGUGGGUUUGAUGACGGGCGUGGGAACUUUCUUGUGCCACAGUCCCGGGGAAGAAAAUAAGUAAAUCCGGGUACGGAAUCCAAAAGAAAUGCAGAAUCUAAGUAGCGGAGGCAGCGGCAUCUGAGUGUUGAGUAUGGAGUAUAGACCAUGAUAUAGAUUAAGGCACCUAUAGCGAAAGAGAGCGUUGGUCUGAGAUGUGUUAGGGGAAGAAUGAUUCGAGGUGCUUGUUUAGUAUGUUGUUUGUAAAAGGUACUUCUAAAAUGAUUCCUCACUUUUUGAUUUGAUUAAUUUAUUUUGGUCCUUGUGUGGAAAACAGAAGUUUCCAGGCCAAGGAUCCAAUCCCGGCCACAGUAGUGACAAGGCUGAUCCUUAAGUGCUCGGCCCCAGAGAACCACUGCAUGUUUUCAAUUGAGUCGACAAAGAAAUUAGAGUGUUAAGUAGGAAAGGGGGACAGUAUUGGAUCGAUGAUGACUACUGGUGGCGUAUGAGUCGUGUACGAUGAAUACGUGUCUGGAACGCUGAGGUCCAAUGUCCUCCGUGCCGUGACCCUCGCGGGCGAGGCCAGGCAUCCAGGGGGGCCGUCCGUGUGUCCUCUGGGGGGCCUUCCUGGUGCUUGCGUUCGCCCAGUGGGCCAGUGGGAGCCCCUGUGGACCAGCCUGCCAGAACUGAAGGAGGAGAGCGAGGGAGGGCCGGCAUUCCCAAGGCGCCAGGUCCCUGGUGACCCCACCCCCCAUGGUCUGCCUCUUGCCAUGCCAUGGGCUGCAGGUUGGCCAGAGGUCUUGGGCUGAUGUCCCCGAGGCUGAGGCCGUGGGGCAAGGGUGAGGUAGGCAGGGUCAGGGAGGGCCCACCUCUGUCCCGGGGCUGGGCGGCCAGCUGGUGGUUGGUGGGUGUCCCGAGACAGGGCUGUGCCCUGCCAGCAGGGUGGCCCCGAUGGAGGCGUGCAUGUGGAAGCCGCGAGCCUGGAGAAUGGCUGUGCCAUUGGGUCUCCUGCUCUUGGCUUUGUACUCUUCAGCAGGCAGCCGCCAGGCCCGAAGGCCGGCUCCUUCCUGGAUGAGCAGGCGAGGAUGGCAGCGUUGUCUUUGGAGCCAGGGGACCAGUGUGAGCAGCAUCCCAGGGCUUGUCGGGGCUGGGCUGGGCAGGGCAGUGCGAGGGGCUGGUGGAGGGUGGGCGGCAGAUGCGGGCGAGGCCAGCAGUCCAGAAGGGCUCUGGCGUCCCAGGGAUGGGACAGCUCUGGCUAGGAAGGUCUCUUGGACGUCCUGCACAGGGGCCCAGCUGGUCCUCCGCGGCCCAGAGAGACCGAAAGCCAGGGGACGGGUCCUAGAGGCCCCCCGAGGGAUGGCGAGGCCUCGUUGGGUGGGGCGGGCCCCUUGGGUUGCCCAGUGGCCGUGCGGGGAGGAAUGCCUGACUCCACGGGCCAUGGCGAAGGAAGAGAAGGUCCCCCUUUUCUGGAUCGAUGAUGAUCAAUGCCAGCGUAUGAGGCAUCGAUGACGAAUAAUGUGUGUCUGGAACUCUGAGGUCCACUCGCAAGGAAACGGGGCCUUUCUCUUCCUGCCUUUCCAUCCUCGAGCCCAACGGGGCAGCGCCGACCGCCCGAGGAGCCCAGUCGAUGGCGUCUCACUGUGGGUGUCACCUUGUCUCUUGGGUCUCCCUUAUAGGGUGGAAGCCGAAGGCCAGGCCAGGCUGCGUGGGGCCGAGACCCCUCCUCUGGCGGAGGUGGCAGGAGAGAUCCCAAGGUGAGGCAUGGCCUCGGGCUGUCUUGGUUUGGGUCAUCGGGGCCAGUGUUUUCCAUGUCUUUAAAAUGUCCUAUGUAGAAUCCCCAGGUGACUAAUCGUCCCUUGAGAACUAAGGCAUGAACCUUUAUGCUGGUUAAUUGACAAUAGGGAUUUCACCAAAGGAAGAUACAAUCUCUUUUGGUACUACUUAGAUCAUCAGGGAUAUUCAAGUGUCUUGUACUCUGAUUUUCGUUAAUCAAGUACUUCUUGUUAUGAAGGAAACAUUAAAUUGAUCCCAAAACAUGAACAUGGGAAGUGACAUUGGCCUAAUGUACCCGUGAUGAUUAGAACAUGGGUCAGGUGCCAGUGGUGAGUCAUGAAUGACGCAUGAUAAGGGUCUGAAGCCCUGUGGCCCCACACAGUCCAUCCUCUUUGGCUCUGUUUAGGCCAUCCUGUGGACAGGUGUUAGGAACACAGAAAGUUCGGGUUCUUACAGCGUAUACGUUUUCAAAGUAUUCAUACAGCAAGGAGAACACCAUGAAAGUUAUAGGUAAUAGUUGAAGAGCAUAUGUUGUUGUCUAAUUAUGAGCAAAUAUGUUGAAGAAAGAAAUAUUAAUCAAAAUUGCCAACAGCAGCGCUCCUUAUGAGAUAAGUCAGUCAAACGGUCACCUUUGUGGCCAAUUAUCAGAGAGACUUGAAGAGUUGUAAGUGUUAGAAAUUUCCUGUAUUGUUGUGAGUCAGUUUCAAGUUUGAGGUAGUUCUUUCAGUCAAGAGACAAAACAGUCUCUAAAGCAUGGCUAUGCUUUACAUUGUUAAGUAACAGGGCAGAUGAAAUGUAGAGGCAAGACGCGACGGUGAUCCCUUUUCUUUUCUUUCUCUUUUUCAUCAUUGGCUGUGCUUUGUGCUGUCAAACGUGCUCACGCUGGAGCGGAUUGAGCGUGAUCCCACGGUGACGUCCCAGGUCUUCUUGGGUGUUGUGAAUGAUUGAGUGUCUGAAUGACUGUGUGGGAAUUGCUGAAUCCGUCAAUGAAGUAAUACACGUGAAGGAGGCACAGAGACCCCGUCACGGACCAGUGAUGAGGCGCGUGACGGGAAGAGUCCUGAAGGAAGAAAGCAUCUCUGAAACUCUGAGGUCUGUCCCAGCACCUAAGGAGUCUCCUCUCUUGGGGGAAAUUGUGUCUGUAGAGAGAUGCCAGGGUAUACAAAGGUCAUGUGUUCUCGUAUUUAUUUCUUUGUCGUGGGUUUGUUAGGAAUGGCUGC
rnacentral:lncRNA from 9 species